CCCGCUGAACUUAAGCAUAUCAAUAAGCGGAGGAAAAGAAACUAACAAGGAUUCCCCUAGUAACUGCGAGUGAAGCGGGAAGAGCUCAAAUUUAAAAUCUGGCAGCCCUUGUGGUUGUCCGAGUUGUAAUCUAGAGAAGUGCUAUCCGCGCUGGACCGUGUACAAGUCUCCUGGAAUGGAGCGUCACAGAGGGUGAGAAUCCCGUCUUUGACACGGACCCCCAGGGCUUAUGUGAUGCGCUCUCAAAGAGUCGAGUUGUUUGGGAAUGCAGCUCUAAAUGGGUGGUAAAUUCCAUCUAAAGCUAAAUAUUGGCGAGAGACCGAUAGCGAACAAGUACCGUGAGGGAAAGAUGAAAAGAACUUUGGAAAGAGAGUUAAACAGUACGUGAAAUUGUUGAAAGGGAAACGCUUGAAGUCAAGUCGCGUCGGCUUGGGAUCAGCCUGGCAACUGCCAGGUGCACUCCCUGGUCGACGGGUCAGCACCAGUUUCGACCGUUGGAAAAAGGUCGGGGGAAUGUGGCAUCCUCGGAUGUGCUUAUAGCCCUCGAUCGGAUGCAUCGGUUGGGAUUGAGGAACUCAGCGUGCCGCGAGGGCCGGGUUUCAAACCACGUCCGCGCUCAGGAUGCUGGCAGAAUGGCUUUAAUCGACCCGUCUUGAAACACGG
rnacentral:rRNA from 1 species